UGGGGAAUAUUGGACAAUGGGCGAAAGCCUGAUCCAGCCAUGCCGCGUGUGUGAAGAAGGUCUUCGGAUUGUAAAGCACUUUAAGUUGGGAGGAAGGGCAGUAAGCGAAUACCUUGCUGUUUUGACGUUACCGACAGAAUAAGCACCGGCUAACUCUGUGCCAGCAGCCGCGGUAAUACAGAGGGUGCAAGCGUUAAUCGGAAUUACUGGGCGUAAAGCGCGCGUAGGUGGUUCGUUAAGUUGAAUGUGAAAGCCCCGGGCUCAACCUGGGAACUGCAUCCAAAACUGGCGAGCUUGAGUAGGGCAGAGGGUGGUGGAAUUUCCUGUGUAGCGGUGAGAUGCGUAAGUAUAGGAGGGAACAACAGUGGCGAAGGCGACCACCUGGGCUCAUACUGACACAAAAGUGCGAAAGCGUGAGGAGCAAACAGG
rnacentral:rRNA from 1 species